UGGGGAAUCUUGCGCAAUGGGCGGAAGCCUGACGCAGCAACGCCGCGUGCGGGAAGAAGGCCUUCGGGUUGUAAACCGCUUUCAGCGGGGACGAAGCUUCCGAGGUUAAUAGCCUACGGGGUGACUGUACCCGCAAAAGAAGGACCGGCUAACUACGUGCCAGCAGCCGCGGUAAGACGUAGGGUCCGAGCGUUGUCCGGAAUCAUUGGGCGUAAAGAGCGUGUAGGCGGCUUGGUAGGUCCCGUGUCAAAUCCUGAGGCUCAACCUCAGUCCGUCACGGGAAACCGCCUCGCUAGAGUCCGGAAGAGGAAAGUGGAACUCCUGGUGUAGCGGUGGAAUGCGCAGAUAUCAGGAAGAAUAUCGAUGGCGAAGGCAGCUUUCUGGGACGGUACUGACGCUGAGACGCGAAAGCGUGGGGAGCGAACAG
rnacentral:rRNA from 1 species